AGGACGAACGCUGGCGGCGUGCUUAACACAUGCAAGUCGAACGAUGAUGCCCAGCUUGCUGGGUUGAUUAGUGGCGAACGGGUGAGUAACACGUGAGUAACCUGCCCCUGACUUCGGGAUAACGCUGGGAAACUGGUGCUAAUACCGGAUAUGACGCAUCCUCGCAUGGGGGUGUGUGGAAAGACUGUGUCGGUUGGGGAUGGGCUCGCGGCCUAUCAGCUUGUUGGUGGGGUGAUGGCCUACCAAGGCGUCGACGGGUAGCCGGCCUGAGAGGGUGACCGGCCACACUGGGACUGAGAUACGGCCCAGACUCCGUACGGGAGGCAGCAGUGGGAAUAUUGCACAAUGGGCGCAAGCCUGAUGCAGCGACGCCGCGUGAGGGAUGACGGCCUUCGGUUCGUAACCUCGUUUCGAGUAGGGA
rnacentral:rRNA from 1 species